AAGUGCUGUUCUUCUUUUGCGGAGGAAAUACAAGGAGCUGUACAAGACUGAACCCCUGAAGUCAACAGAGAUGUGCCACGGUGGAUGUUACUUUAAAAGCUCUGCAUCCUGAGGGAGCGAUGGCACAGAAGUGACCACAAAAUCUCACCUUGGAGGGUACAACUGGAGCAUCCCCUCCAUUCAAUCUUAAGAAAAGUAUGGGAGAAAUUACAGCCACUCGUCUCUUCCCCAGACCGCUCCACAGCA